UGUUUUUGUUUCUCACAAUAAUAUUGAACCAACUUGUCGUUACUACAGAAUGAGUGAAAAGCAAUGAAAGAGCAAAGGCAGACAGACCUGUGUGCUUAGCCAGAGCCAUGCUUUGUCAUUUUAUCAUAGAGAUCAUGUCAGCUGGCGGCAGCAUGAGUAAUCUAAGCUUCAAACAAUAUCAUCCUGCAGAUAAAUCAAUGAACACAGACAGAAACAAGCUAAGUCUAUUUUAGACAGCCUAAUGAUCAGCAGUUUUUUCUAAUAGCUUGUCAGACUUCAACCUGUCAAGCCUGAAGAUUUAGGGACACCGAUUCACUGGAGAUUUCCUGAUUGCAUUCCUGCUGGGCUAUCUGUGAAUCACAAUAGGAGACUCCUAGGAAAGGGGAGAAAAUGGAUCGCCUUCAGGCCUUUAUGAGGCACAGGUUAUUGUAAUGCCUCAACUAAAUCCUAAUUACUCUGAUUAACAAUGCAAGCCUGUCACUGCUCAUGCAUAAUAGUGAAAAAGUUUGCAGUAAUGACUAUGAAAUUCUGCUACUUCGGCUCAGGCCUCCACACGUGCCUUACUGGGGCUUUGUGGGCCCUGCGUGCCAUUCACCCAGCUGCUGUUUCCAAAAUAAGGGGGUUGCCAGGGUGAGCUCCAUUUGCAAUGCAGACCAGACCUGAACAUACUUGGUGAGAUCAGCUGGCUCACAAGAUGGGCUGCAGGGUUUGAAACGUUUUGAGAAGUUACUGGGCCUGCAGAUCAGAUUUCUUGCUGCUUCAUAUUAAUUUUCCUGUUAAAAUCAAAGGCCUAUGGAGCAGUUGCAAAGUGCCAAAAGCUAUGGGGAAGCCUGCAUUACAUCAGCAAGCUGUGUACUGACCUUCUGAGCCAGCCCACAGGGAAGAACAACAGGAGGGAGAUUGCAGAGGCAGAUAGGACUACUUAAGUAGCAAUUCAUUGUGAACCACUUUUCUAAGCUGUUGAUAGAAGCAUCAAGUGUGAGAGAGGAAGGGGACUUAUCUUCUUGCCCAAGCAGAACCCUAAUGACUCCAUAAUGACUGCUAAAUAAUGUUGCCAAUAAUCUCCAUUUAAUUAUACAGCUCUAGUAAGUCCUAAAAAGGAAAGAAAACACAAAAGGCGUCUGCAGUCCUAACAGAUCCAGCAGCUCCUCAGCCUAGUUCUGUAAAAUGCAUGUGGGUAUGUAGUAGGACUUAUCUCCUGGAAGAGAAUUGCCAUCCUUCAUCUCAUCUCAAAUAGUCACUCAUGGGAAAUAAAUUUGCUCAGCUCUUGACGCAGCGAUCAAUAAA